UAUCAUCCAGUAUACACAGGUGCAGAAGAGAGCAAGUACAAAGCAUGGUUAAAUGCAUGGCAGGGCCCAUGACAGGUCGGCAUUGCUGAAGUCACAGCCAACAUAGCCAAUGGUGAAAAGUAGGAAUGACGUAUACUCCCAUCAGAACAAAAUACUGAUCAAAAUCCUAGGUACCAGCUGGAAAAAGAAUGACUAACAUUGUAGUCCCAGAUCUGGCACAGCCUGGUAACAUUUUCUGCUUACCUUUCCAAUACAUCUGGUUGCAUUGGGAAUCUGAUAACGUAAAAAAAAAAGUGAUCUGUCACAGAAUAGAAUUCUGUAUAUUCCCAGUUGGAUUGUGAAACCCAGUCUGAGAUCUACCCUUUAGUAUGAAAUUUGGCCAGGAGGAAUGAAUUUAUUAUGUUCUGUGCCCAACCACUUGUGAUCAAAACCAAGCUGUUCCAUAGUUUAUGUAGAUGAUGUGCUGAUUAUAUGACACCUGUCCUCAGAAUACCACAAAGGAAGAUGAAAAAACAAGUGAUAAUGAGAUGGAGCACCUUAGAUGGGUAUCCAAUUAAACCAUUCAGUCUUCUUGCCAAUAGAUAAUGAGUAAGAGAGAAAAAUAGGGAUCUGUGCUCUUUUGUAUGAAGAAAAGACAGCAAAGGCUGUUACAGCUCAUGGAAGUUUGGGAGACAAGAUGAAACUACUACAGAGAGAAGGCGGGGAGAAAGAUAGAAAAAGAUGAGGGGAGAAAUCUCUGCCAGUUAUUUUAUGCAGUGUCACCAUGGACACCAGGACCAAAGAGUCAAAUAUGAUGAAGAGGAGAAGCAGAACAGAGGAAAAGCUGUAGUAUCCAUGGCAACAAGUGGAUUCUGGCACUUUGGCAAACUGGGGAGAAAUGAGAACAGGGAGUUUGGUCAGUGAGACAUUUGCUCUUGAGUGGAUCACAGAACUCCAUCAACUUAACUUGUCUGAUCUUUAGUGUGCCUACAUCUCCCUUCCAGUGUUUUGGAAUAUAAUUCCCAGCACUUCCAUAUUAAGAAUCAUGGGACCUGCAAGCCAACAAAUCUGGAAUGUGCCAGGUUAGAGAAUGUUGGUCUACACUGAAAAACAUGAAUGACUAGAAAUAUGGAGAAGCUCAAAGCACCUGAUAAGUUCAAGUGCAGGUGUUUGUCAGAAAUCCAUUAAAAACCGAAUGAAAUUGAAAAUGGAUGGUUUACAUUGAUUUGCACAUGAUUUUGCAAGUGUUUAAUUUAUUAAUCAGUAGCUGCUCUUUAAAUGUGUGUAAAUCAAAUUUGCAUAAUGUAUGUAAGCAGUUUAAUCUUUCAAUUAGCUAAUUAAUGUAAAUGUUAAUACAGAAACAGCACAUGUAACACCCAGUUGCUCAAAUGUCAUCCAUUUAGAAAAGAAAGAGGGAAAGGUAUGCAUUGUAAAAUAAGCCCUGUUGUUUGGUGUAUAGGUACUCUUUGAAAACUGAGGUUGGAAAACAUUUUCAAUGAGAACUUUACUUGCAGAGAUACAAGUUGAUAUUUCAAUAACUCUUCAGUGUCAUGAUUGCAAAUUGAGCAUAAAAAUAUUUGAAGAACAAGAGCACAAUGGAGAGUGGGUUAAGAUGUGUCUGAGGAUGAGCUCAUACUCCAGUCAUUCAGGUUUCGAAUGCAUUGUUGUUGUUCUUGUGCUUCUUUAAGCCAGUCCCAAUUUAUGAUAAAACUAUUGUGAGCAUACCAUGUGAUUUCCUUGGUAAGAUCUGUUCAAAGAAGAUUUGCCACUGCCUUUCUCUGAGGCAUCGAGAGUGGAAUUGCACCAGAAUCACCAAGCACCUUUUCAUGGCCAAGUGGGGAUUUAAAGCCUGGUCUCCAGAGUUGUUGUCCAAUGUUCAAAUCACUACACCAUAACACCUCUCUUCAAAUGCAUACUCACCAUUGCAAAAACAAUCAAGGAGUUAUUUGAUUGCUGUUUGGAUCAGGGUGGGCAAAAUAUAACCUACGGGCCACAUACUAUUUUUUGUCCAAAAGCAUGUACUGUACCUUGAAACUUUCAAAACACCCUCAACUUUUUAAAAAGCACAUAUGAUUUUUUUUACCCUGCCAAAGGGCUGAAAUCCACUCCAAAAUACAGAUUUUCCCACAAAGCUCCUUCAAAUAUCUUGAUAUUUCUAGAAAAAUAAAAAUAUUAUCUUGAAAUUGGCCAAAAUCAAAACUAGAAAGUUUACUACUCGCUUCCUAUGUGUAUUUUGGUUUUAAUAUAAUGUUGCUUCAGGAUUUUUUCAUGUAUGUAAGCGAGGCAUAAUCUGAUACAUUUUAUAGUGUUUUGAGAAGGACAUUAAAGGCUGGAUCCACACUGCCCUAUAUCCCAGGAUCUGAUCCCAGAUUAUCUUCUUAUCCCAGAUUAUCUGGAAGUGUAGACUCAUAUAAUCCAAUUCAAAGCAGAUAACACUAUGUAACAAAAUUUGAAAAAAAAAUCUGUUCCUGGUGAGAUGCUUACUUUUAAAGUAGUUGUUAUACUCCAAAAACUUCAUUUUUGUGGCUGCCACAAACUAUGUUGAAUUGGUUGAGAGUUUAGAAGAUGUUAAUUGAAAAACUAUAGCACAAUGUGCUGCAGGAUGUCCCAUAAAAACAAAGUGUUUGCAGUUUAAUGAACCUUUCCACAUUUGUAUGAUGGAACCACUUACAAAAUGAUAUUUAUAACCCAGAAACAAAAAAUCAUGUUACAUAGUGUAAUCUGGGAUCAGAUCCUGGGAUAUAGGGCAGUGUAGAUCCAGCCAAAGAAACAAAUUUGUGGAUCAGUUUUGAGCAUGUUGUAUGUUGUGCUUUGACCCCACAUUUUCCCAUCCUUGGCUUGUGUUUUAGUUUUGAAAUGAUUUAAUAGAACUUUUUUUGCCAGAUUGGAAAUAUUAGAACAUAGAAUAUUCUGAAGGAUCCAAAUGUAUAUGUAUGUUGUCAACUAGGUCAGUGGGAGCAGAGUCCUCUGAAACAGUCUCUCCACAGCAGAUACUUUCACCCACAGAAAAUGCUACCUGGAGGAUUGAGAGACACCAGUACCCAAAUUAAGCUUAGACAAGUUCUAUAAAUUGAGUUAAACAUUGAACCAUUUGCUUAAAACUCUGGAACCCAGGGCUUCAAGGGAAUCUAAAUAUUCCAUCCCUAGUAUAUCUGUAUAGGAUUUAGACAGUAAAUCAGCUCCUUCACACUUUCUGCAACUAUUUGCAUAUAGCUCUUGCAAUAUCUGGACCAGCUUGAAUAUCUUGGAGGUUCUGAGGUGUCUCAAUAACAUGGAGGGUUCUAGCAAGCAGUAUUAAAGCAUCUCUUGUUUGCAAAGUUCUUUUUCUGCUGAUUGCUUCAAAUGUGAAUUGUGUGCAUUUGUGUGUAUGUGUGUAUAUGUAAAAUUAAGAUGCAAUCAUUUACGUCCCACAAAGUUAUUACUAUAAUCAUUGUCUAUGGUGAUAAUAAAGCAUUUUAAUUAUGCAGACUCA